rnacentral:rRNA from 1 species
UACGUAGGGUGCGAGCGUUGUCCGGAUUUAUUGGGCGUAAAGAGCUCGUAGGCGGCUUGUCGCGUCGGAUGUGAAAGCCCGGGGCUUAACUCCGGGUCUGCAUUCGAUACGGGCAGGCUAGAGUGUGGUAGGGGAGAUCGGAAUUCCUGGUGUAGCGGUGAAAUGCGCAGAUAUCAAGUGGAACACCAGUGGCGAAGGCGAGUCUCUAGACAUUUCCUGACGCUGAGGCACGAAAGCCAGGGGAGCAAACGGG